GUGGGGAAUAUUGGACAAUGGGGGAAACCCUGAUCCAGCGACGCCGCGUGAGUGAAGAAGUAUUUCGGUAUGUAAAGCUCUAUCAGCAGGGAAGAUAAUGACAGUACCUGACUAAGAAGCCCCGGCUAACUACGUGCCAGCAGCCGCGGUAAUACGUAGGGGGCAAGCGUUAUCCGGAUUUACUGGGUGUAAAGGGAGCGUAGGUGGCAUGGCAAGUCAGAAGUGAAAGCCCAGGGCUCAACCCUGGGACUGCUUUUGAAACUGUCAAGCUAGAGUGCAGGAGAGGUAAGUGGAAUUCCUAGUGUAGCGGUGAAAUGCGUAGAUAUUAGGAGGAACACCAGUGGCGAAGGCGGCUUACUGGACUGUAACUGACACUGAGGCUCGAAAGCGUGGGGAGCAAACAGGAUUAGAAACCCCGGUAGUCC
rnacentral:rRNA from 1 species